AUGUAUAUAUAUAGCCCAACCCUAAAUUUGAGGAGAGAUGUCCCAUCCUCCCAGCCGCCGCCGCCAUUCCACCAAAUACCCCUCGGGAUCCUUCCACAAACCAGCUUCUUUUCCCCAAUCCAAUCCAGCCAACCAGCGCCAGCCUCUGCUUCCCCUCGAUCCACCCAAGCCCAUCGAUCCUCUACCUCCUCGCUCUCCUUCGUCGACCAGGGAGACGAGCUCAUCCCGAGCGCCUCCGCCUUACCUCGUCGCCGGCCGGCUUCGUCGGAGACCACCCCUGCAAGGACCGACCUCUUCUGCUCCCCUUCCUCCUUCCCGUUUCCUUCUCCUCCUCUCUCUCAACUCCCUCUCCGUCUAUGUACCAGGUAUGAUCAGGAGAGCACCCGACUCCAUGGAUGGCCUCGAGUUCUUCCCCAACGCCAGCCUUCUCAACCACCUCGCGUCACCGCCUCCCGUUGCAGCUGCUUCCUCGAGCUCCCUCACAUGGCGUCCAUGGCGCCCGGGUUCCUCCUCAACCCUGCCAUCUUCAGCACCCGCGCCAUGGAUCUCCAUGUCCACCGGCUCGCCUCCGCUUCGAUCCGGCAGGGAAAGGGACCCCGGCGAUCUCCCGUGACCGGACCCGGCCACCCCGACGCCCUAUGCCCUCGGGCCCCAUCGGACCUCCUUCCUCUGUGCCAAGCAUCGCCGGCCGGCCAUCGAAGCCGCGGGCCAAGCUCCUCUGCUCGCUCGCCUGCAUCCGCCUCGUCCCUGCUCCAGAGAAGGACGAGCAGCGCCGUGCUGUUGACUGCAUCGCCAGAUCCGCCGCCCACGUCCUCGACUGGAUACGCCAUGCUCCCCGUCCUCCGCCCAAGUCCCUACCGAUGCACCGCCGUUGGCCAAGCCUCACCUCUGCUUCGCUUGAACAGGGAGGAGAACGCCUCUGCCUCUGUUCGCUCAGGCCGCCCUCGCGUUGACCGGGCACGAUGCCACAACGACCGCGCGUGGGCCUCAUCUUCCCUCGCCCCGGCCCAGAGCUUCCUCCAGCAAGUCCGGCCCAGCACCAAGGCGCAGUCCCAGCUCCCUUCGCCCUCGAGGCCCAGCUCCGCACGCGCCUGCAGGCCCAAUCUUGCAGGUGCCGAUGAGUCCGUGCAGAUGACGCAAGCAAACUCAAGGAGGAGCUCGAUGAAGAUCUUGUCCUUUGUGUUGUUCUGUUCUAGUUAA
rnacentral:rRNA from 1 species